rnacentral:rRNA from 1 species
UACAGAGGGUGCUAGCGUUGUUCGGAAUCAUUGGGCGUAAAGGGCGUGUAGGCGGUUUGUUAAGUCAUGUGUGAAAUCCCUCGGCUCAACCGGGGAACGACGCAUGAAACUGGCAAGCUAGAGUACCAAAGAGGGGGGUGGAAUUCCCGGUGUAGCGGUGAAAUGCGUAGAUAUCUGCAGGAACACCCGUGGCGAAAGCGGCGCGCUGGACCACUACUGACGCUGAGGAACGAAAGCUAGGGGAGCAAACAGG